AUUGAACGCUGGCUGCAGGCCUAACACAUGCAAGUCGAACGAGUGGCGGACGGGUGAGUAAUGUCUGUGAAACUGCCCGAUGGAGGGGGAUAACUACUGGAAACGGUAGCUAAUACCGCAUACCCUCGGAUGUGCCCAGAUGGGAUUAGCUAGUGGGUGGGGUAAUGGCUCACCUAGGCGACGAUCCCUAGCUGGUCUGAGAGGAUGACCAGCCACACUGGAACUGAGACACGGUCCAGACUACUACGGGAGGCGGGAGUGGGGAAUGUUGCACAAUGGGCGCAAGCCUGAUGCAGCCAUGCCGCGUGUAUGAAGAAGGCCUUCGGGUUGUAAAGUACUUUCAGCGGGGAGGAGUUACCAUAAGAAGAAGCACCGGCUAACUCCGUGCCAGAAGCCGCGGUAAUUC
rnacentral:rRNA from 1 species